UUCCCAGAUACUAAACAAACUGGCCGGCGAACACAGAGUGCUGCAGUCAUGUAAGCAAGCGAACGAGCUGGAUCAACAGAGAUAACGUUACAUUCUACCCAACCUAAAAAGCCUCGGCAUCCUUCUGAAAAGCUCCAUGACCAGAGACGUGGUAAACCACGAGUAAAUUUUGCCAAUACAUUUGAACAAUGGAGGCAGCUUAGAGCCCAGAAGCACUUUAAGAUGGAUGCCGAGUUGGCUAAUUUCCUCCUGGACAGUAACAGAAGCGACUCUCGUCAGCUUCCCUGAACUACGCGGCCUACGGCUCACUGCAGUUUCUCCGAGCUGGACAUCUCGAAGCCCGGCCGCAGGGUGGUGCGCAACAUGCAGCGCUUGUGCUUCAUGGUGAGGCCGUACUCGGGGGUCAUGUCUGGCAUUUCACCUGGCAGGCUGCUGAACUUUAACCUCUGGAUGAGGAUGGCGAGGAAGAGAAAGACUUCGGAGCGGCCGAUGGCUUCGCCGAUGCAGCGCCGUUUACCCAGGCCGAACACCAUGACCUUCUCAGCUUCGGCCUUGUUGAGCUCGGAGCCGUCGGCACUCAGGAAGCGGUUUGGGUUGAACAAGGAGGGCUCCUUCCACUCCUCUCUGCAGGAAAUAUUGAAUUGAAGUCAUUAAUCAAACAUCUAAACUACAAUGAUAUACAGUGCUUUAUUAUCUAUAAUACUGGGCCAUCCAGUUUGUUCAUACAUGAAGCGUAAAGGAAGUAUUUUUCAACCUCAUCUCUAUCUACAGUAUCUGUAGCAUAUGGUUGAUUACCAUGGGCAAUAAAUUUCCCUCUACUUAAAAAAGGAAUAGAAAACCUGUGGACUCGAAACCUGUAAUAGAAGUCAAUUUACGGAACCAAAGCUUCUAACUCUGGGUUCAGGUACGCUACAGAGCCCCUAGAGGAACUUGAAGUGCAUUGCACUGGAAAAAUAUCACCUGGCAUCUAACCAUGCCAUUCAUAGCCAAGUCCACUGACUGCCAGUCACCACUAGCCUAGUUUCAGUCUGCCAGCAUCACACUGACCCCCCCAUUUAGGACUGAUAAAGUAAUGAGCGACUUACGGGUUGUGGUUUAUUUGCCACUGGUUAAUGAACACACAUGUGUCUUUAGGAAUGAAGUAUCCGUUCAGCGAUGUGUCUUUCGUGGUGCUGUAAACGAAAGCAUAAGGACUAAAUCUCCACUACAGAGUGUGAAGCAUCAACAAACACCUAUACUGUACAUUUGUUUUUGGCCAAAUUUGGCAAAUAAAUGCAUAAAUAUGUGACGCACCAGUGUGGGAUGGUGAAAGGGAGGAAGGAGGAGUGACGGAAGGUCUCCAGAAUGAAAGACUCGAGGUGCGGCAGGCUGGUUUUGUCCGACAGACGAGGUGUGCGAUCUGUUCCGACCUUCUCCUCUGUAGAGAGAAGAGCACUUCAGUCAUUAAUCUGUAUCUUCAGUCAGUCAUUCGUAACUUGUAAUAAAUGAUUAUAGACUUUAUUUUUGAAGCAACAAUAAAAAUGUAACUUCUUUACAAACAAAGACUAAAUAAAACAGAAGAGAACAGAAAAUAAAGGAAAAAAAAACAAAGAACAUGCAGGGAAAUAUAUGAACUAGAAAAGUGCAUUUCCUGAAAAAUAUGUAGAGGGAUUGUGCAGCUCAGGCAGUUUCCAAGUGGUUGUUAGGGUGAUCGGUUACUGCGGUAUUUUAGGUAGUUUCCAAGGUGCUGAUAAAUGGUUGCAAUGGUAUCUGAGGUGGUUGCUAGAGUGUUGCUAGGAUGUUGCUAAGUGGAUGCUAUAGUAUCCCAGGUGGUUGCUAGGGUGUUGCCAGGUGGUUGCCCCCAUGGUUCCCCACAUGACAUAAACAUUUUAACCUUUUUUUUCCAGUCUGUUGAUUCACUGAUUCACUGAUUCAUUCAUUCUUCCGCCCACUCACUGGCAGAACUGCUGGAUAAAUCUAUAGAUCUUUCUGUGCUAUAUUUCAGAGAGGAAUAUGAACUGUGCUUACUCAGCUCUUGGUAGAGCCUCUCCUGAAUCUCCGGAUAAGCCACCAGAUACACAACAGACCAAGACAGAGCAGUGCUGACGGUGUCGAAGCCUGUAAAGAUAUGAGAGUAAAGGUCGGGUCGUCCAGCGAACUCCUCUCCCUGCUUGAUGAGCGCCUGCCGCACCGCCUCGCUGCCGCUCAGCACCAGCACGGGGCGCGUGCCGAUCCUGAUCUGGAAAACUGGGCCGUAGCGCUUGCUCAUGGCGCUCAGGCUGAGGUGAGGGUUCCGGCCCAGCUCCAGCACGUUCCCGAUAAUGGGGAGGGACUGGGGGCCUGGGAGCGGCUGAAGACCCUCAGGGAUCCUG